ACGGGAGGCAGCAGUGGGGAAUAUUGCACAAUGGGCGAAAGCCUGAUGCAGCGACGCCGCGUGAAGGAUGAAGUAUUUCGGUAUGUAAACUUCUAUCAGCAGGGAAGAAAAUGACGGUACCUGACUAAGAAGCCCCGGCUAACUACGUGCCAGCAGCCGCGGUAAUACGUAGGGGGCAAGCGUUAUCCGGAUUUACUGGGUGUAAAGGGAGCGUAGACGGUAUGGCAAGUCUGAAGUGAAAGCCCGGGGCUCAACCCCGGGACUGCUUUGGAAACUGUCGAACUAGAGUGUCGGAGAGGCAAGUGGAAUUCCUAGUGUAGCGGUGAAAUGCGUAGAUAUUAGGAGGAACACCAGUGGCGAAGGCGGCUUGCUGGACGAUGACUGACGUUGAGGCUCGAAAGCGUGGGGAGCAAACAGGAUUAGAUACCCUGGUA
rnacentral:rRNA from 2 species